rnacentral:rRNA from 1 species
GACGAACGCUGGCGGCGUGCUUAACACAUGCAAGUCGAACGGAAAGGCACUGCUUUUGUGGGGUGCUCGAGUGGCGAACGGGUGAGUAACACGUGAGUAACCUGCCCUUGACUUUGGGAUAACUUCAGGAAACUGGGGUUAAUACCGGAUAGGAGCUCCUGUUGCAGGGAGGGCGUUGGAACGUUUCGGCGGGUGGGGAUGGACGCGCGGCUUAUCAGCUUGUUGGUGGGGGAGUGGCUUACCAAGGCUUUGACGGGUAGCCGGCCGGAGAGGGUGACCGGCGACAAGGGGACUGAGAUACGGCCCAGACUCGUACGGGAGGCAGCAGUGGGGAAUAUUGCACAGUGGGCGGACGCCUGAUGCAGAGACGCCGCGUGCGGGAUGACGGCUUUCGGGUUGUGAACCGCUUUCGCCUGUGACGAAGCGUGAGUGACGGUAAUGGGUAAAGAAGCACCGGCUAACUACGUG